CCCUCCCUAAAAAAUGAAGUAAAUAGUUGCUGCCUAAUUCAUUUGAAAAGGUCUUCCCGAAUCGACUUGACGUACAUUGAAAUAUUUGCCACUGGUCUUUACUCAAACAACGAUUCACGCAUAAAUGCAUGACUAAAAAAAGUGUGGGGUAAAUGAUAUGUUUGUCUAGUAUCUCAGAUCCGUUAAAUAACACUUAAAAUAAAUUAAAAAAAACGUGACCCUAUUCUUUUACCAAAUACUUCUUGGAGAAGAAAUACCAUUUGAAACAAACAGAAAAGAUAAAAAUUUAGAGAUCCCUAAUAACUCAAUCCUUUUUUUUCGGCUGUAAGCACGCUGCUGCAGCUAACGUUUUCUAGUGCGUAAUCGAGACAUCUCUAGUAUAUUCAAACUACUGCAAAUUAUAAAAAUGGCUUUCAUAAAGUAGUAACCACUUAACUUAAAAAGGGGAACGGUUAUUUUUUUUUUAUCUGAGUAAGAUUUUUUUUUUCGCGCGUACGUUUUUAUUCCUUUUUUUUCGAUGCUGGUGAUCAAAUACAUUUUUAUUCAAUAUUUAACACUAUAAUGUAUGGGAAAACUCUUUGAUUCAGAAUAUUUCUUUUAUCAUCUGUAUGAUCAUUUUUUUUUUUUAUCAAAUUGGGGAUCGGAAUAUUUCCAUUCCCACCCCACCCCCCCUUUUGAAGUCAAAUGGUUGUUCCCUUACCGCUAGAAAAAUUGUCCCAAAAUUUUGAAUUCAGUUCUACGUAUCUUAUGUACAGGUAGCUAAACAAGGUGUAUAGAUGUGAACAAAUGUAAUGUGAAACCAGUGCACACUACACUAAACUAAUUGUAAACAUGAUUACUCUACACGGCGUUUGGUGUGAACACGGCCUUAAUCACUCUAAAAACAAACAAAUAUGUAAUAAAGAAGGACAAACGGGUAUAUAUACAAAGCACAUUCGCAAAAAUGAAGGACAAGAACACAAAAAUUUACAAUAGCACAAUGACACAAUGACGGCAUGUAAACAUACAGAGAUUGACAUUCAGAGAUAAACAAUUUGCACACAAUUCUUCGUUUCAAACAUUGAUGUGUUUUCUUCGCGUUUCGUGGUGUUUUGACCCACGAGCUACCUUUGUAGGUGCUUUUACCUUUUCAUUGUCUAAGAUUUAAAUCACACUAGAACACACCCGUGAUAUCGUGGGUUCGUGACUGAGUUAAAGUAUAUAACUAUUAUAAAGUCAAUAUCAAUAAUAAGAUUUUAAAAAUCAAUGCGUUUUGAAGAAUUGAGGACAGACUUCUUAAAAUUUAUUCUGAAACUGAGUUCAUCAAGAUACUGCACUAUAUUUUCUACUUUCUAAAUUCUGUUCCAUAAUAAGAGAAUAGCAUUAUAAUAAAUACAUUGAAUGCAAUUUUUGUUUGAACAGGUUAUAAAGCAUUAGUUACUUGGUACAGAAGCCAAUAAAAACAAAGAACCUGAAAUUCACAUAAAUGUCCUCAAAUAUUUCAUAGGUCCUCAAUGAACGGAUAGUUGAAAUAGUUCUGCUACUGUUAUCACUAGCCAGUCAACACUGAGGUUGUGAGUUCGAUUCCCCAACGUGCGGUUGCACUCAACUCCAAUCAGAGUUGAUUGUGAUUGUCCGUUUUCCUGUCGAAAGCUGGUGGUUUUCUCUGAGCACUUCGGCUCCCUCGACCAAUAACAACAGACCGCCACGGAAUAACCCAAAAUGUGGCGCUUAAAAGUAUUGUUGAAACGCAAUCAAUCAAUCAAAUAUUUCAUGGAUGUUAGGUAAAAAUCCUUUUACUAUCUUGAAUGAUGAGAGGCCAAAAUGUAUUUUUUUUUUAAUUGAUAAAAGGCCUUAAAGACCCAUCUAAAUAACAAAUAUAGAAAAAAGGUUGACUCUCCAAUGAUUCAACUUCUUAAAUAGCUCCAUUAGCUAUCAAUCUAAUUUAAGAAAUCAUUUCAUUCUUACAUGUAUGUGAAGGGAAAGGUAUUUCAUUCAUAAAAUAUGAACCUUGUCGCACAACAUCAAUUCAAUUCAAAAAACCAUUUCGUACUGUAUCUAAUAUAUUUGGCAAAACUUUAAGGAGUGUUUUGGUCCUCAAUACUUUCCAAAUUUGUACUAUUUUGGGCCUUAAUAACUUAUUUUGAUUCGAGCGUUAUACUGAUUUAUAAGUCAUUUUGUAGACGAAACGCGCACCUGGCGCAAAUACAAAAUUUCAAUCCUGGUAUCAAUGAUGAGGUUUAUUAAUUAAUAUCCACAAAUCUUAGUAAUUGUUUCCCAUUCGGGAUAAUUUUUAGUUCGCUCACCUUAACUACUGUUGAAAUUUGGUUGUUCUGGUAGAACCCUCGUUUAAAGUUGUGACCUUUUUAGGAUCCUCUGUUAAACUGCCAUGAAACAUUUCCCUCUGUCUUUUAAAGAGGGGAAUAGAAAUCCGCCUCGUCGACCGGACACAGACCUCUGAAGUUUAAAGACAGAAAUUGGUUCAUUGCCCAUAUCCUCUGGGCAGUGUGGAUCAAGAUCAACCCCUCAAGAAAGUAUAAAUUUCUGGGGAUUCCUAAGCUUUUCAGACACAUCUGUUGUAUCACAUCAGUAUCAAUUAACUAUUUACUCAAGAAAAACAAAGAUUUCUAACAAUUUUCAGAACGAUAGUAUUUCUUAUUUAUGAACUUGAUACUAUCUUAAUUUGAUUUUACAGAAAUGGCAGCAUUUACAGCCUUCGAAAGACCAGGAUAAAUUUUUGGCCCAGUCUAAUCUUCUGUGUUUAUUUGAUCAUGAGGGAUUUCUUAAGCACAAUCAUAAUCGAAUUGUUCAACUUGUUCAACAACAGAACAGAUUGAGAUUACAGGUAACAGGUAAAUUACCACCAGAGCUAUUACCCUAGUCCGUAAUAAUAUACUCUUCCCACUAUUUGAACAAUAGACAUAAGUGAGAGACUUUUGUCGGCUGUUUUUGGAUAUACUCUACACACUAUCAGAACAAUAGACGUAAGUGAGAGUCUUUAGUCGGAUCUUUGGGUAUACUCUAUCCACUAUCAGAACAAUAGACGUAAGUGAGAUCCUUUGUCAGAUCUUUUUGUAUACUCCCCCACCAUCAGAUCAAUAGACGUAACUGUCGAGAUUAUCGCGGGAUAACGACGAAAACCGAGCGGUCAGGCUGUGAUGUUAAACUAUAAAUGUGCAACCCUUAGUGUGUUGCUAUAAGAAUGUGUUUUAUAACAAUGUAUAAGUAUAUAUGAACUAAAGUUAUAACUGGCGACCCUUCUUUGGUAUCGGGGUAAUUUGCUUUAAUUUAUCAGUUGGUAGUAAAGUGAAUAUGGUGUUGUAUAUUGUAUAUAGCAUUGAUUUAGGUUGAUUCAACUUCUAUUCUGGACAAAGAAAGAUAACUCCAAUUUUCAAAGAAGAUUUUAUAUAAAGCAUUGGUUUUAGGUGAUUCAACAACUAUUCUUGACAAAGAAAGACAACUCCAAUUUAUUGACUUGAAACUACAAAAAAUGCUAGUUUUUGGCCCUUUAUUCCUAGACUGUUUGCCCCAUAACCCUUAAAAUAUAUCUCAACCUUCUACUUAUGGUAAUAAACAUUGUGGUACAAUUUCAGAACAAUUGAAAUACUUAUACACAACUUAUUGUUCUGACACUAGACUAAUACUAUCUUUGGGCCCCUUAUUCCUAAACCUUAAGGACCAUAACCCAUAAAAUCAAUCCCAAGCUUCCUUUUGUGGAUAUAAACAUUGUGUUAAAAUUUGUUUGAUUUAAGUUUACUUAUACUAAAGUUAUCAUCCGGAAACCAUCCGUCUUCGGACGAGGACGACGACGACGUGAUACCAAUAUACGACCGCAAAAUUUUUCGCGGUAGUAUAAAAACGCCAAUCGCUACCAGUUUAAAAUCUUUACAAAUAAAAAGUAAAAUAACAAGAAAUACAGAAAAACUGAGCUCAAAGCAAACCCUAAAACAUAGCUAACCAAAAAGAGGCGAAAAAUACUUCAAGGAACAUUUAAACUCAGAAGUCGACAAGGCCAUGCCUAAAUAGAAAAAGACAAACAGACAAGCAGACUAACAACAGUACAAAAAGCACAACAUAGAAAACUAAAGACUGAGUAACACAACCCUACCUAAAUCUAAAGGUGAUCUCAUUUAUCCCGGAAGGGUAAGCAAAUCCUGGUCCACAUGUGACACCGUUAUGUUACUCAUGCCAAUAUACAAUAAAUUGUGUGUUACAACUAUAGAUAAAGGCGACGUGGAAAGGUAUUACUCGACUGAACUGUUAUUUUUAUAUAGCCUAGUUGGUCGAGUGAUCUAGAGAGCUGGACACAGUGCAUGAUGCGUUACCACGAUGUUACAGAAGCAAUUUUCAAUUCGCAAAAUUCAACUAUAUAAAAGCGAUUUUUAGCCAACUUUGCAAAAGUGACGAAGCGUGAUGUUGUCUACAUCCGGCUUAAUCAAUUAAACUCAUCAUAGAUAUCAGGAUUAAAAUUUUAUAAUUACGUCAGACGCGCGUUUCGUCUCAAAAAGACUCAUCAGUGACGCUCGAAUCAAAAAAUGUUUAAAGGGCCAAAUAAAGUACGAAGUUGAAGAGCAUUGAAAACCAAAAAUUCCUUAAAGUUUUGCCAAAUACAGCUAAGGUAAUCUAUUCCUGAGGUAGAAAAGCCUUAGUUUUUCAAAAAUUCAAAGUUUUGUUAACAGUUAAUCUACAAUUAUGAACAUAUUAAUGAUAACUCAAGUUAAAACAGAAGUGCUGACUACUGGGCUUGUGAUACCCUGGGGAAAUAAAUCUCCACCAGCAGUGGCAUCGACCCAGUGGUUGCAAAUAAACUCAUGCUCAUCAUAGAUAUCGAUGUGUGAACAAAACUAACAGACAUCAUAGGUAAAAAUGUCACAAAUAGGGGUACAGCAGUCAACAUUGUGUUAUAAUCUUAGGCCGUGUUCACAUUGACCUAAAUUCGGUGUUGUGUUAGUGUAACUCACACGUAAACUAAACACAAUUGCGUUCCCAUUGAUAAAACUCAAUGUUUACAUAUAGUUUAAAUCAUGUUUUAUCUACACACAGUCGAUAGUCAAUGUAGGCCUUAUGUAGGUUAAGUGUACACAAAACUAGGCAUUUAGGACAUUAGUUUUACCGUGUAUAUAUUUAAGGAGGAAACUAUUUUUGAGUAAAAUUGAUAUUUUUGAUAAUUAUUAGUAUAGUUCUUUACAGAACUUGUUGUCUAAAUUUUACAGAUUUUUUUGUGUUAAAAACAAAUUCACGUACUUUAUUAACCCCUGAUUAAGACUCAAAGCAGCAUCAUUGCCGAACCCAUAAGGCAGGAACCAAUUGAUUUUCGGGGGGGGGGGGGGGCUAUUAUAGUUGAGUAUAAAACAUAAAGGCAUGGGGGUGGGGGUAUUAUAGUUGGCAUAAAAGGUGGUGGGGGGGGGGGAGCUAUGGAUUUUGUUUUAGAAACAAAAAAUGUUUCCAGUUUUUGGCCCUGAAAAAAAAUUUGUUUGUUUCACCCUCAGCUGCCACUAUAUAUAUAAUGCUAAAAUUGAUUUCGACUUGUCACCAAAAUUUGUCCUGGAAAAAAUCAAAUAGCCCACGCCCCUCUACCCCCCCCUUUCCCUCCCUAAAAAAUGAAGUAAAUAGUUGCUGCCUAAUUCAUUUGAAAAGGUCUUCCCGAAUCGACUUGACGUACAUUGAAAUAUUUGCCACUGGUCUUUACUCAAACAACGAUUCACGCAUAAAUGCAUGACUAAAAAAAGUGUGGGGUAAAUGAUAUGUUUGUCUAGUAUCUCAGAUCCGUUAAAUAACACUUAAAAUAAAUUAAAAAAAACGUGACCCUAUUCUUUUACCAAAUACUCCUUGGAGAAGAAAUACCAUUUGAAACAAACAGAAAAGAUAAAAAUUUAGAGAUCCCUAAUAACUCAAUCCUUUUUUUCGGCUGUAAGCACGCUGCUGCAGCUAACGUUUUGUAGUGCGUAAUCGAGACAUCUCUAGUAUAUUCAAACUACUGCAAAUUAUAAAAAUGGCUUUCAUAAAGUAGUAACCACUUAACUUAAAAAAGGGGAACGGUUAUUUUUUUUUUAUCUGAGUAAGAUUUUUUUUUCGCGCGUACGUUUUUAUUCCUUUUUUUCGAUGCUGGUGAUCAAAUACAUUUUUUUUUCAAUAUUUAACACUAUAAUGUAUGGGAAAACUCUUUGAUUCAGAAUAUUUCUUUUAUCAUCUGUAUGAUCAUUUUUUUUUUAUCAAAUUGGGGAUCGGAAUAUUUCCAUUCCCACCCCAUCCCCCUUUUGAAGUCAAAUGGUUGUUCCCUUACCGCUAGAAAAAUUGUCCCAAAAUUUUGAAUUCAGUUCUACGUAUAGUCGCCGUCAUGUAAAAUUGGCACCAUGUUUUUUGUUAAAAAUUUUUUAAAUAUCAACCGCGUUUACUCAAGAUGAUGUUUUUCUUUUAGCGGAAGUAAAAUCCUCUCCAAAUAUCCACUACUGUCCUACCUUUUAUUGUGUUUGCACUGUAUAAUCCCGACCUUCACAUUUUUCAAGAUUAUUUACAUUGUAUAACCGCCAUCUUGGUUUCUAUGAGGGUCCCUUAUUCCAUAACAUUUGUUACUCUCUGGUAAUAUCAUUGUCAUUGAUGAUACAAUUUCCCGCGCUUUUUACAUAAAGAUGACGAAAAGCUCCGAGAGACACAAGAAAAUUGAGAGCACGUGGAACUCCACGGCAACACUUCCGGUAAUAACAAUGUCGGAUUCCACCAUACAAAUUAAUCUUGGAUUAUGUGAAGGUCAGGAUUAUACAGUGCAAACACAAUAAAAGGUAGGACAGUAGUUGAUUUUUGAAAUGAUAUUUGAUUCCGCUAAUUGAAAAACAUGAUCUUUAGUAAACGCGGUCGAUAUUUAAGAAAAUUUUGACAAAAAACAUGGUGCCAAUUUUACGUGACGGCGACUAUAAUGAACAUUUAAAUGACACAUAGUUUACAAGUGAGAACAAAUCUUAUGUACAGGUAGCUAAACAAGGUGUAUAGAUGU
rnacentral:lncRNA from 1 species